AGCGUGCUACAUAGAGUAUUGGU
rnacentral:siRNA from 1 species